UACGUAGGGUGCGAGCGUUAAUCGGAAUUACUGGGCGUAAAGCGUGCGCAGGCGGUUCGUUGUGUCGGCGGUGAAAGCCCCGGGCUUAACCUGGGAAUGGCCGUUGAAACGUGGCGAACUGGAGUGUGGGCAGAGGGGGGUGGAAUUCCGCGUGUAGCAGUGAAAUGCGUAGAGAUGCGGAGGAACACCGAUGGCGAAGGCAGCCCCCUGGCUAACACUGACGCUCAGGCACGAAAGCGUGGGGAGCAAACAGGAUUAGACUACCGUAGUA
rnacentral:rRNA from 1 species